CUCUGGCCCCGCCCACAGGCGGCUCAACCGCCUCUUAACGACCCCAGCGGGCAGCGCCCCGGCCCCUGCCCCACGCGCCCCUCUGGCAGCUUAACUGUCCCCGCGCACCUGGCGCCCCGCCCCCGCGCGCCCAGCACCCCCCGGGCCGCGAACAGUUCCCGCCCCCGAGCCCGGCUGCGUCUCGGCGCGGCUCAGGCCCCCUCAGCCCGCAGAAGACGGCGGGCGCCUCCGCCCAGCAGGAGCGCCGCCUCCCCAUCCUGAAGCUUGUAUACGGACUUUUGCUGCUGCCAGACCAACGGUCUCUUCAGAUGGAGAGAUACAGGGAGAUGAGAGAUGCCCCGGCUUCAGAGAUUCCUCUGAUGCCGUGUCAGCUUCCAGGUGGUGCUGGGACUUGAACCUUGUCGACUUGUUUCGCAAAGCACACUCCCUUCCUGGAUCUGCAGGUGGCACAGCCUUUGCUGCUCCCUGGACCUCCCUCUGCUUGGCCUGUCCCGCCUAUCGUGUUGCCACCCAUCAAGUCUGCCUUUGUUCACAGUCCUGCUGGCACCGGAUGAACACCCCAGGGGCAGAGGUGAGCAGGAAGAGACAGGACAGAUCAGUGGAGGCAUUUCAUCCCUUCAGAGACCAGCACACUGCAUCUGACACGACAUCAUUGAAGAGAAGAGAAAGCUGAAUUGAGAACAAGAUACCGCACACUACUACCAUGCUGCCAAUACACACCGGACCUCCAGUAGUCCUUAAUGAGGGCAGAGUUCAUGAAGAAUAGAUGGAGUCUGGGUGCCAUGGGGAGCAAGGGGGGAAGAAAAAAACAUAGGAGGAAGAAGGAGAAAGAGCAAUUGGACGAAUAUGUCCAAGACUGGAAGCAGCCCCAGUCUGAUCACAGUGAGCCAAUUCCAUCACUGGAGGGAUCUCAGAAGUUGUGGAAGCACCUGUCAUACACUAAGAAGACAAUACAUCUCUGAAGCAGUGAGUCUGCAGGGCGACAUCCAGAUCUCAGACGAUGUGGGUCAGAUAACUUAGCCAGUAGAGAAGGAAAAGGAGACCCGAUGGGAGCUGCAAAGUCCACCUGAGUGGGUGAUAGUGUUUCCUGUCCAGAGACUUCAAUGUCUGCCCCGGAAGAGGAGCAGAGAUGUACCCGAGGUGAAUUUAAAGCCUCCCAGUUAAGACUGGAAGACUGAGUGAAGAAAAGCAGAGGUGAGCACGAUGCCCGCCUUUCCACAAAGCUGGGCUCACAGAGGACCUCAGCAUGAGGGGGCAAAGAGAGAACCCUGAAGAAGCCUUGAUGGGAGUGCAUCAUGAGAUGACAUUCCUGCAAGAACAGAUGGUGGAAAGAGAAAUGCAGGAAAAUCCAAGCCAGCAAAGCCUCCAGUGAGGGUUGUCCAGAGGCCGCAGGUGCCCAGUUGCCCCUACUCUGAGAUGGUGGGAGAGAGUCUGUCCCCACUGCCUGCACAGCCACUGCAGGUGUGUGCUCAGCCAGGGGCAGGACAGUAGAGGAGAUGGGGGGAGGGGUGGGAGGGCUACCAGAAUGAGAAACUGCAACCCAGGCUCCCCUUCCAAGAGUGUCCUGACAGAGGAGCAGGCAGCCAUGGCUGGGAGAGGCCCUGCAGAGUGUCCCUCCUCACAAAUCCCACCCUCAGCAGAGACCCUGCUCCACCAUGAUGCUCCCUGUGCUGCCAGCUCCAGGCUGCUGCUCUUUGGGGCCUCACUCAGUGUGGCCACGGUUCACCCCGGCUUUUCCCACACCACCAAGCAGAAGAGAAUGGAGACCAGGAUGCCCACCUGGAGGGUGGGGGGUGCCCCUCCCACCCUGUGCUUUCAUCCCACUUCACAUUCCUCAGACCCUACGCCCCUCUUGGCUGAAGAGAGCUCUGCUUCUCUGGUGCCCGGCCAUAAGCCCCAGCCCAGGGCCCGUGGCAUUACACAUCUCCACGUGUGGGACUGCAGAUUCACAUGCCCCAGGGGUCCCCAGAGUGUUCCUCCUGCCAGAGACACACCACCUUCUGGAGAGAGACAGAAACAACCACCUCAGAGCUGCUGCUAGACACAAGCAGUCUCCCAGAGUCACCAUCCGGGACCUCAUCAACUUAGUGCAGAUGAACUAGAUUGUGAAUAAAGUCUUCCACAGGCUUUAUCAUAUAAAACAAAAAACAAAAAAAUAGUUGGGUGUUCAAAACAAGUGGUGCUGAAGGCUUGCAUUUUUGAGUCUUCCAAUUCAAACUUUGCAUGCUUCUGUUUUAAUAAAAGCCACUCAACCUCUCCUGC